rnacentral:rRNA from 1 species
GGCUGCAACUCGCCUACAUGAAGUCGGAAUUGCUAGUAAUCGCGGAUCAGCAUGCCGCGGUGAAUACGUUCCCGGGUCUUGUACACACCGCCCGUCACACCAUGGGAGCCGGUAAUACCCGAAGUCAGUAGUCUAACCGCAAGGAGGACGCUGCCGAAGGUAGGAUUGGCGACUGGGGUGAAGUCGUAACAAGGUAAC